rnacentral:rRNA from 1 species
UCCUCCAAGGCUAAAUACUCCUGACUGACCGAUAGUGAACCAGUACCGUGAGGGAAAGGCGAAAAGAACCCCGGCGAGGGGAGUGAAAAAGAACCUGAAACCGUGUACGUACAAGCAGUGGGAGCACCCUUCGGGGUGUGACUGCGUACCUUUUGUAUAAUGGGUCAGCGACUUAUAUUCUGUAGCAAGGUUAACCGAAUAGGGGAGCCGGAGGGAAACCGAGUCUUAAUUGGGCGUUAAGUUGCAGGGUAUAGACCCGAAA